AGAAAAGAAAUCGAUCAAAAACAGUCUGGCAAAGCACGUCAAUUGGAACCAUCCAACGCCUGGGACAAAGCGGGGAUUUAUACGGCGAGACCAGGGAUUGAACGAGCAAUUCAUGUUUAACAGCAAGAAUGCACAGAUAACCGGGCAAUCUGACGUUUACUACGACAGAUUAACAAUUUUAACUGAAACAACUUCAAUAAUCGUAACAGGAAAUCUCUCCCUGUGUACCGGGAAGAAAUGCUAAAUUUAACACUACUUGAAUGGUGAUAAACGUGGUGAAAGCCUAAAACACAGCGAAAGCAAGCAACAUUCACUUAUAUGGCCAACCGAAUUUCACACUACAGUUACUGAUAAAGACGUACUCGUUCACAACUGAUUCAUCCUCAACUGCACUAUAUUCUUGGAAAAAGUUGGUAAAAUAUUCAUUGAAAACGGGGGAAAUCGUCUGAGAUACAAGAACAAAAUUUUAAUUUAAAGAAGCAAUUUGUGAGUGUUAUGUUUAGUUACUUUUCGAUCUUAUCUGAUUUACUCCUAACCUUGUCCUGUUUCACAGUUAGCUUGUAUUGUACUGUUUAAUUUGUCAUCCUACAGCAAACACUACAAUUAGGGCUCUAUACAAAUAAAAAAUGUCGUGAUUCAAACUUUUUAUUUAAAAGUGUUUCAGGUUUAUUAUUAUAAAGUAUUUGGAAAUGGCCAAGGAUAGACAAGGAUAAGGGGUUUAUCUGUAGAUAAUACCGGUGUAUUGGAAGUAGUUCGAUAUUAAAUGACCAAGGAUAA
rnacentral:lncRNA from 1 species